GCGACCUCGGGAGGGUCCGGUCCUUCCCUCGGCCCCCGCGACGCCGCGCCCGGGUGAGGCCCUGGGCUUCUUGCCGGUGACCACGCGGCCAGGGUGGCCCCCAGCCCAGGACGGCUACCAAGGGCGGCCCAGCCCCAUCCCCGCGCCGCGGGUCCCGGAACCGAAGAGCUGGGAGCGGGCGCUCCCUGACAACAUGGCGGCGGCGCCCGGGCGCCUCCCCGGGUCCCGGGUGUCUGCGUCUCCCCGCGAGGCCGUGGGCAAAGCCGGUGCCGUCCGACGACAGGAGGCGAAAGGAACCCAGGACCAGACCCGCGGGGCGAACAGUGCUGGAGGACCAUGCACCGACCACGCCCGAAGCAGAACCAAGGCCCGCCCUGUUGCCGUGGCGACUGCGCGCGGGGUAGACGCAGGCGCCGCAAGCCGUGAGCUCUCAGUGCAGGCGCAUAGGCUGCGGGGUUGAGGCGCAUUGCGUGCGCGUGCGCGCUGCUCACACGCGGACGGUUCUGUGCGCCGCAAUGGCUGCCCGCGAGUAUCGGAGAGGCGGAGCUCUCAGUCUUUUACAGGACCGGGUCUCCUGAUGCCGCCGGUGGUUCCUCGAGGCCCCCUUCCACGCAUCCGCCGCCGCUGCUUCAUCAGGACUUCAUUUCGGUGACGCAGAGCUUUGGCGAGAGCUACGGCAACAGCAAGAACUGCCGGCGGCUCUUGUGCUGCAGGGUGAGGACCGCGCCGGGCGGACCGAGGCCCGGGGUCGCUGCGCCCGCCGCCCUCCCAGCCUGCGGCUCCGAGCGGGGCCUGGGCGGGCAGACUCGACUCCCCCCGACGCCGCCCUCUCCACCCUUACCCCGCAAAAAGGGGCAAAUCUGCUUUCCGGGCCGGGGCAGCCGUGGUCGGCACGCCUGCAGCGGUCUCAGCGACCCAAAUUCUGCGGGGCGGUGGUGGUGGGAGGAAGGGUUGGAGCCCCAGCAGGUUGUCUGGGCUUCGUUUGCUUUUCGGCAAGGUCCUGGCCCAGGCCCCAGUCCCUCUUGGAGCGGAAGCCUCUGGACCUGUUGCUCCUAAGAAAGCAAGCGGCCCCUGACGCGUUGCUGUGGCCUGGUUUGACCCUCGUAGCCAGCCCAUGUUCUGUGAGGCAUGAAGCGCCACGCAGACACCACGACAAAGUGAGAUGAACUAAGACCUCUUCUUGAUUCUAAGCAGGGAACGCACAGCUCACCCUGUCACAUGCAGCGAUCAUAAGCUGAGAAUUACCCUCUUCCUUCCCACAGCGUCUAAUCUUUUUUUAUGUUUUUGUGGCAAGGUCUCGCUUAGUCGCCCAGGCUGGAGCGCAGUGGCGAUCAUGGCCCACUGCGGCCUCGACCUCCUGGGCUCCAGCGUGCGUCUAAUCUAGAACCAAAUCCUCCUUCCUUAGAUCAUCCCCCAAAUCACCCAACUACAGGUGAAAUCCUGUAAUAGUUUCCUCCGAACACCCUGUUGCUGAGACACCUCAACGUCUCAACCUGGUGUGUUUGUACGUAGAGUAAAAGACCCAACUUGUUUAACUACAGGCGUGUUUGCAGUGGUCUUUGGCUUAAG
rnacentral:lncRNA from 1 species